CCUACGGGAGGCAGCAGUGGGGAAUCUUUCACAAUGGGCGAAACCCUGAUGCAGCGACGCCGCGUGCGCGAUGAAGUAUUUCGGUAUGUAAAGCUCUAUCAGCAGGGAGGAAAAUGACGGUACCUGACUAAGAAGCACCGGCUAACUACGUGCCAGCAGCCGCGGUAAUACGUAGGGGGCAAGCUUUAUCCGGAUUUACUGGGUGUAAAGGGUGCGUAGACGGCGAUGCAAAACAGAUGUGAAAGCCCGGGGCUCAACCCCGGGACUGCAUUUUGAACUGUAUAGCUGGAGUGUCGGAGAGGCAGGUGGAAUUUCUAGUGUAGCGGUGAAAUGCGUAGAUAUUAGGAGGAACACCAGUGGCGAAGGCGGCCUGCUGGACGAUGACUGACGUUGAGGCUCGAAAGCGUAGGGAGCAAACAGGAUUAGAUACCCUAGUAGUC
rnacentral:rRNA from 1 species